GACGAACGCUGGCGGCGUGCCUAAUACAUGCAAGUAGAACGCUGAAGAGAGGAGCUUGCUCUUCUUGGAUGAGUUGCGAACGGGUGAGUAACGCGUAGGUAACCUGCCUUGUAGCGGGGGAUAACUAUUGGAAACGAUAGCUAAUACCGCAUAACAAUAGGUGACACAUGUCAUUUAUUUGAAAGGGGCAAUUGCUCCACUACAAGAUGGACCUGCGUUGUAUUAGCUAGUAGGUGAGGUAACGGCUCACCUAGGCGACGAUACAUAGCCGACCUGAGAGGGUGAUCGGCCACACUGGGACUGAGACACGGCCCAGACUCCUACGGGAGGCAGCAGUAGGGAAUCUUCGGCAAAGGGGGCAACCCUGACCGAGCAACGCCGCGUGAGUGAAGAAGGUUUUCGGAUCGUAAAGCUCUGUUGUAAGUCAAGAACGAGUGUGAGAGUGGAAAGUUCACACUGUGACGGUAGCUUACCAGAAAGGGACGGCUAACUACGU
rnacentral:rRNA from 1 species